rnacentral:misc_RNA from 1 species
GAUGAAGAACGCAGCGAAAUGCGAUAAGUAAUGUGAAUUGCAGAAUUCAGUGAAUCAUCGAAUCUUUGAACGCACAUUGCGCCCGCCAGUAUUCUGGCGGGCAUGCCUGUUCGAGCGUCAUUUCAACCAUCAAGCCCCAGGCUUGUGUUGGGGACCUGCGGCUGCCGCAGGCCCUGAAAACCAGUGGCGGGCUCGCUGUCACACCGGGCGUAGUAGAUUUUAUCUCGCUCAGGGCGUGCUGCGGGUCCCGGCCGUUAAAAGCCUUUUUUUACCCAAGGUUGACCUCGGAUCAGGUAGGAAGACCCGCUGAACUUAAGCAUAUCAUAAGCGGAGGA